rnacentral:rRNA from 1 species
AUUGAACGCUGGCGGCAGGCUUAACACAUGCAAGUCGAGCGGGGUGAUGGUGCUUGCACUAUCACUUAGCGGCGGACGGGUGAGUAAUGCUUAGGAAUCUGCCUAUUAGUGGGGGACAACAUCUCGAAAGGGAUGCUAAUACCGCAUACGUCCUACGGGAGAAAGCAGGGGAUCACUUGUGACCUUGCGCUAAUAGAUGAGCCUAAGUCGGAUUAGCUAGUUGGUGGGGUAAAGGCCUACCAAGGCGACGAUCUGUAGUGGGUCUGAGAGGAUGAUCCGCCACACUGGGACUGAGACACGGCCCAGACUCCUACGGGAGGCAGCAGUGGGGAGUAUUGGACAAUGGGGGGAACCCUGAUCCAGCCAUGCCGCGUGUGUGAAGAAGGCCUUGUGGUUGUAAAGCACUUUAAGCGAGGAGGAGGCUCUUUUGGUUAAUACCCAAGAUGAGUGGACGUUACUCGCAGAAUAAGCACCGGCUAACUCUGUGCCAGCCGCCGCCGUAA